rnacentral:tRNA from 1 species
AGGGAUUUAGCUCAGUGGUAGAGCGCUUGCCUAGCAAGCGCAAGGCUCUGGGUUCGGUCCCCAGCUCUG